AACGAACGCUGGCGGCAGGCCUAACACAUGCAAGUCGAACGCUCGUAGCAAUACGGGAGUGGCAGACGGGUGAGUAACACGUGGGAACCUUCCCUAUGGUUCGGAAUAGCUCAGGGAAACUUGGGGGUAAUACCGGAUAAAGCCCUUCGGGGGAAAGAUUUAUCGCCAUUGGAUGGGCCCGCGUCGGAUUAGCUAGUUGGUGAGGUAACGGCUCACCAAGGCAACGAUCCGUAGCUGGUCUGAGAGGAUGAUCAGCCACACUGGGACUGAGACACGGCCCAGACUCCUACGGGAGGCAGCA
rnacentral:rRNA from 1 species